GGGUUGUGAGGUUAAGCGACUAAGCGUACACGGUGGAUGCCCUGGCAGUCAGAGGCGAUGAAGGACGUGCUAAUCUGCGAUAAGCGUCGGUAAGGUGAUAUGAACCGUUAUAACCGGCGAUUUCCGAAUGGGGAAACCCAGUGUGAUUCGUCACACUAUCAUUAACUGAAUCCAUAGGUUAAUGAGGCGAACCGGGGGAACUGAAACAUCUAAGUACCCCGAGGAAAAGAAAUCAACCGAGAUUCCCCCAGUAGCGGCGAGCGAACGGGGAGCAGCCCAGAGCCUGAAUCAGUGUGUGUGUUAGUGGAAGCGUCUGGAAAGGCGCGCGAUACAGGGUGACAGCCCCGUACACAAAAAUGCACAUGCUGUGAGCUCGAUGAGUAGGGCGGGACACGUGGUAUCCUGUCUGAAUAUGGGGGGACCAUCCUCCAAGGCUAAAUACUCCUGACUGACCGAUAGUGAACCAGUACCGUGAGGGAAAGGCGAAAAGAACCCCGGCGAGGGGAGUGAAAAAGAACCUGAAACCGUGUACGUACAAGCAGUGGGAGCACGCUUAGGCGUGUGACUGCGUACCUUUUGUAUAAUGGGUCAGCGACUUAUAUUCUGUAGCAAGGUUAACCGAAUAGGGGAGCCGAAGGGAAACCGAGUCUUAACUGGGCGUUAAGUUGCAGGGUAUAGACCCGAAACCCGGUGAUCUAGCCAUGGGCAGGUUGAAGGUUGGGUAACACUAACUGGAGGACCGAACCGACUAAUGUUGAAAAAUUAGCGGAUGACUUGUGGCUGGGGGUGAAAGGCCAAUCAAACCGGGAGAUAGCUGGUUCUCCCCGAAAGCUAUUUAGGUAGCGCCUCGUGAAUUCAUCUCCGGGGGUAGAGCACUGUUUCGGCAAGGGGGUCAUCCCGACUUACCAACCCGAUGCAAACUGCGAAUACCGGAGAAUGUUAUCACGGGAGACACACGGCGGGUGCUAACGUCCGUCGUGAAGAGGGAAACAACCCAGACCGCCAGCUAAGGUCCCAAAGUCAUGGUUAAGUGGGAAACGAUGUGGGAAGGCCCAGACAGCCAGGAUGUUGGCUUAGAAGCAGCCAUCAUUUAAAGAAAGCGUAAUAGCUCACUGGUCGAGUCGGCCUGCGCGGAAGAUGUAACGGGGCUAAACCAUGCACCGAAGCUGCGGCAGCGACGCUGAUGCGUUGUUGGGUAGGGGAGCGUUCUGUAAGCCUGCGAAGGUGUGCUGUGAGGCAUGCUGGAGGUAUCAGAAGUGCGAAUGCUGACAUAAGUAACGAUAAAGCGGGUGAAAAGCCCGCUCGCCGGAAGACCAAGGGUUCCUGUCCAACGUUAAUCGGGGCAGGGUGAGUCGACCCCUAAGGCGAGGCCGAAAGGCGUAGUCGAUGGGAAACAGGUUAAUAUUCCUGUACUUGGUGUUACUGCGAAGGGGGGACGGAGAAGGCUAUGUUGGCCGGGCGACGGUUGUCCCGGUUUAAGCGUGUAGGCUGGUUUUCCAGGCAAAUCCGGAAAAUCAAGGCUGAGGCGUGAUGACGAGGCACUACGGUGCUGAAGCAACAAAUGCCCUGCUUCCAGGAAAAGCCUCUAAGCAUCAGGUAACAUCAAAUCGUACCCCAAACCGACACAGGUGGUCAGGUAGAGAAUACCAAGGCGCUUGAGAGAACUCGGGUGAAGGAACUAGGCAAAAUGGUGCCGUAACUUCGGGAGAAGGCACGCUGAUAUGUAGGUGAAGUCCCUCGCGGAUGGAGCUGAAAUCAGUCGAAGAUACCAGCUGGCUGCAACUGUUUAUUAAAAACACAGCACUGUGCAAACACGAAAGUGGACGUAUACGGUGUGACGCCUGCCCGGUGCCGGAAGGUUAAUUGAUGGGGUCAGCGCAAGCGAAGCUCUUGAUCGAAGCCCCGGUAAACGGCGGCCGUAACUAUAACGGUCCUAAGGUAGCGAAAUUCCUUGUCGGGUAAGUUCCGACCUGCACGAAUGGCGUAAUGAUGGCCAGGCUGUCUCCACCCGAGACUCAGUGAAAUUGAACUCGCUGUGAAGAUGCAGUGUACCCGCGGCAAGACGGAAAGACCCCGUGAACCUUUACUAUAGCUUGACACUGAACAUUGAGCCUUGAUGUGUAGGAUAGGUGGGAGGCUUUGAAGUGUGGACGCCAGUCUGCAUGGAGCCGACCU
rnacentral:rRNA from 1 species